UGUUAAAAAAUUCACUCAUUUCUACUAUUAGAAUCUGGCAUAAUUGACAGAAUAACCAAACAAAUACACAUAAUGUGCCACGUGUACCUCAUGCUGAUGCGUAGGGACUAGUUUUUUACCGUAGAAAUGGAUAAAAAUUUUAACA
rfam:Gossypium raimondii Chr13_contig_5, whole genome shotgun sequence.